AUUUUUAUUUGUGUAUAUCAAAUAUCCUGAUUUAUUACAGUUCACUAAUAAUUUGUUUGCAUUUAUAAAUGAUGCAAUAAGAUCUAAAUUGAAGUACAUUUUAUCAGUCAAACUUAGGAAAUUUUUACCCAAAUGUGAAAUAAUUAAAUCAUAUGCAUAAGCAAUAAUAAUAAUGUAAUGUUUCUAUAUAUUGUAGUUUUAAUAUAAGAUGCAGGGAAAUCCACUGCAUCUGGUAGUUUCUAAUCUAUCUUCCUCUCUCCUCGAAUUCUUCCUGAGCAAACCCUCUCAUCGUCCUUCCUUGUUAAUUUUUCUAGUGUCCCCUCGAAUUAGCAGUCAAGACCUGAGCUGGUUCUUACAGAUCCCCACCUUUAAGGUCAUUAUCUCUCCUGAGAUGAUAUUUAACACAGUUUGAAAUAUCUACUGGUCUUUGACUGUCCUCAUUUGUAGGUG
rnacentral:lncRNA from 1 species